rfam:Fibrobacter sp. TWH6 genome assembly, contig: Ga0136285_110
GGAGAGAUGUCAGAGUGGUCGAUUGAGCCGGCCUCGAAAACCGGAGUCUGUAACAGGACCGAGGGUUCGAAUCCCUCUCUCUCCU